rnacentral:rRNA from 1 species
AUCUGCAGUCGAGGGGCAGCGCAGGUAGCAAUACUGGGCGGCGACCGGCAAACGGGUGCGGAACACGUACGCAACCUUCCUUUCAGCGGGGAAUAGCCCAUAGAAAUGUGGAUUAAUACCCCAUUAGAUCGUGGACCGGCAUCGGUCAGCGAUUAAAGCUCCGGCACUGAGAGAUGGGCGUGCGUCUGAUUAGGUAGUUGGUGAGGUAACGGCUCACCAAGCCGACGAUCAGUAACUGGCGUGAGAGCGCGACCAGUCACACGGGCACUGAGACACGGGCCCGACUCCUACGGGAGGCAGCAGUAAGGAAUAUUGGUCAAUGGACGCAAGUCUGAACCAGCCAUGCCGCGUGGAGGAUGAAGGUCCUCUGGAUUGUAAACUUCUUUUAUCUGGGAAGAAAUGCCAUUUUUCUAAAUGGUUUGACGGUACCAGAUGAAUAAGCACCGGCUAACUCCGUGCCAGCAGCCGCGGUAAUACGGAGGGUGCAAGCGUUAUCCGGAUUCACUGGGUUUAAAGGGUGCGUAGGCGGAAUUGUAAGUCCGUGGUGAAAUCUCCGAGCUUAACUCGGAAACUGCCGUGGAUACUAUAGUUCUUGAAUGUUGUGGAGGUUAGCGGAAUAUGUCAUGUAGCGGUGAAAUGCUUAGAUAUGACAUAGAACACCGAUUGCGAAGGCAGCUGGCUACACAAAUAUUGACGCUGAGGCACGAAAGCGUGGGGAUCAAACAGGAUUAGAUACCCUGGUAGUCCACGCCCUAAACGAUGAUUACUCGACAUUUGCGAUAUACAGCAAGUGUCUGAGCGAAAGCAUUAAGUAAUCCACCUGGGGAAGUACCAACCGCAAAGGUUGAACCUCAAAGGAAUUAACGGGGGGUCCGCACAAGCCGGUGGAGCAUGUGGGUUUAAUUCGAUGAUACGCCAAGGAACCUUACCUGGGCUAAA